CUUAACACAUGCAAGUCGAGGGGAAACGACAUCGAAAGCUUGCUUUUUAUGGGCGUCGACCGGCGCACGGGUGAGUAACGCGUAUCCAACCUGCCUAUCACUUGGGGAUAACCUUGCGAAAGUAAGACUAAUACCCAAUGACGUCUCUAGAAGACAUCUGAAGGAGAUUAAAGAUUUAUCGGUGAUGGAUGGGGAUGCGUCUGAUUAGCUUGUUGGCGGGGUAACGGCCCACCAAGGCGACGAUCAGUAGGGGUUCUGAGAGGAAGGUCCCCCACAUUGGAACUGAGACACGGUCCAAACUCCUACGGGAGGCAGCAGUGAGGAAUAUUGGUCAAUGGACGAGAGUCUGAACCAGCCAAGUAGCGUGCAGGAUGACGGCCCUAUGGGUUGUAAACUGCUUUUAUAAGGGAAUAAAGUGAGUCUCGUGAGACUUUUUGCAUGUACCUUAUGAAUAAGGACCGGCUAAUUCCGUGCCAGCAGCCGCGGUAAUACGGAAGGUCCGGGCGUUAUCCGGAUUUAUUGGGUUUAAAGGGAGCGUAGGCCGGAGAUUAAGCGUGUUGUGAAAUGUAGACGCUCAAUGUCUGCACUGCAGCGUGAACUGGUUUCCUAGAGUACGCACAAAGUGGGCGGAAUUCGUGGUGUAGCGGUGAAAUGCUUAGAUAUCAUGAAGAACUCCGAUUGCGAAGGCAGCUCACUGGAGCGCAACUGACUCUGAAGCUCGAAAGUGCGGGUAUCGAACAGGAUUAGAUACCCUGGUAGUCCGCACGGUAAACGAUGGAUGCCCGCUGUUGGUUUGAAUAGGUCAGCGGCCAAGCGAAC
rnacentral:rRNA from 1 species